AUCGCAAUUACCUUAGGCAUAUACUUCACCCUCCUACAAGUUUCAGAAUAUUCCAAGGCCCCUUUUACUAUCUCUGAUGGAAUUUAUGGCUCAACAUUCUUUAUAGCCACAGGCUUUCAUGGACUUCACAUCAUUAUUCGGUCAACAUUUCUCACUAUCUGCCUCCUCUGCCAACUAAAAUUUCACUUUACAUCUAACCACCACUUUGGCUUUGAAGCCGCUGCCUGAUAUUGACACUUCAUAGAUAUAGUAAGACUAUUCUUAUAUGUCUCUAUCUACUGAUGAGGAU
rnacentral:lncRNA from 1 species